AUCCCAUGAUCAGCACACUUACGAAGUAACUCCUUGAAUCGCUCCCAAGCCUCAUAUAAAGACUUGUCAUCCAAUUGUUGGAAAUUUGUGAUCUCAUUCCUCAACUU
rfam:Gossypium hirsutum cultivar TM-1 chromosome 16, whole genome shotgun sequence